rnacentral:rRNA from 1 species
AGUGAACGCUGGCGGUAGGCCUAACACAUGCAAGUCGAACGGCAGCACAGUAAGAGCUUGCUCUUACGGGUGGCGAGUGGCGGACGGGUGAGGAAUACAUCGGAAUCUACUUUUUCGAGGGGGAUAACGUAGGGAAACUUACGCUAAUACCGCAUACGACCUACGGGUGAAAGCAGGGGAUCUUCGGACCUUGCGCGAUUGAAUGAGCCGAUGUCGGAUUAGCUAGUUGGCGGGGUAAAGGCCCACCAAGGCGACGAUCCGUAGCUGGUCUGAGAGGAUGAUCAGCCACACUGGAACUGAGACACGGUCCAGACCCCUACGGGAGGCAGCAGUGGGGAAUAUUGGACAAUGGGCGGAAGCCUGAUCCAGCCAUACCGCGUGGGGGAAGAAGGCCUUCGGGUUGUAAAGCCCUUUUGUUGGGGAAGAAAAGCAGCAGGUUAAUACCCCGCUGUUCUGACGGUACCCAAAGAAUAAGCACCGGCUAACUUCGUG